rnacentral:other from 1 species
GAUUUCCUUGGGUGUUUGUUACGCUCCUAUUUUAAACCCACAUUUUUACAUUGGGAGCCCGGAGUCCAGCUACUAAGUACGGCAGGCGCACCACAUUGUGCAGUGCGAAGGCGGAACGGUACGGCAGGGUACCCACCUGCCCGAGCGGCGGGUUGUAAACGGGGGCGGACGGCACCUAGGGGUUUUA